CUACACAUGCNAGUCGGAACGAAGCCUUCGGGCUUAGUGGCGCACGGGUGCGUAACGCGNNNUNNAUCUGCCCUUAGGAUACGGAAUAACAGUGAGAAAUUACUGCUAAUACCGUAUGAUGUCGCGAGACCAAAGAUUUAUCGCCUAGGGAUGAGCCCGCGUUGGAUUAGCUAGUUGGUAGGGUAAAAGCCUACCAAGGCAACGAUCGGUAGCCGGCCUGAGAGGGCACACGGCCACACUGGCACUGAAACACGGGCCAGACUCCUACGGGAGGCAGCAGUGGGGAAUCUUGCACAAUGGGGGCAACCCUGAUGCAGCGACGCCGCGUGAGCGAUGAAGCCCUUCGGGGUGUAAAGCUCUUUCGGCAGGGAAGAUUAUGACGGUACCUGCAGAAGCAGCUGCGGCUAACUACGUGCCAGCAGCCGCGGUAAUACGUAGGCAGCAAGCGUUGUUCGGAGUUACUGGGCGUAAAGGGUGUGUAGGCGGCCUUCUAAGUUUGGUGUGAAAUCUCCCGGCUCAACCGGGAGGGUGCGCCGAAGACUGGGGGGCUAGAGUAUGGGAUGGGAGAGUAGAAUUUCCGGUGUAGCGGUGAAAUGCGUAGAUAUCGGAAGGAAUACCUGUGGUGUAGACGGCUCUCUGGACCAUAACUGACGCUGANACACGAAAGCGUGGGUAGCAAAACAGGAUUAGAUACCCUGGUAGUCCACGCCCUAAACGAUGCAUAUUUGGUGUGGGCCAUUCAUUUGGUCCCGUGCCGGAGCUNAACGCGUUAAAUAUGCCGCCUGGGGAGUACAGUCGCAAGGCUGAAACUUAAAAGGAAUUGACGGGGGGCCCGCACAAGCGGUGGAGCAUGUGGUUCAUUUCA
rnacentral:rRNA from 1 species